ensembl:lncRNA
CGUGGGCGGCCCCCGAGGAGCCCGGCCUGGCCGUGCCGCCCCCCAAACCCCCCAGGCGCUUCGCAGCCGCGGGUGCUGUGGGGGACGGCGAGGACGAGGAGCCUGGUGGCGCCCAGCAAGGCAAGCGGGAGCCACGGGAAGACCCAGAGGGCCCAAGAGCAGAGGUGGAGUUGCCAAGGAGGCGUGGGAGCAGCGAGCCCUCCGUGCCGGCGCCUCCCAGCCUGCCCGCACCGCGAGCGGACGCCGCUGAAGCCGGGAGCGAGUUCUCAGCGUCUGAGGGUGCCAGAGCUGCCGCUGUGGACUCAGCAGCCGGCUUGGAGACAGGAGCCGGCCGGCUGGGGACAGGGGACACCUCUGUGGGGGAGCACCCAUCAGAGAUGAACGAGACAGAUGUGGCUGAGCAGUUUGAGACUUGCACAUCCAAGUUCUCCCUGGAUGGACUGGACCAGUCGGGUGCUGAGGAGAGCUGGAGCCAGCCCCGUUUAUCCCCUCAGGGGGCCACAGACGGUGCCAAGUGGGAAACAGCCUCCAAACAGGAGCUGUUCCCUGAGGAGCUCAGUAUUUCAGGACUAAACCCACCUUCCAAGCUAGACCUGGGCCAGCUGACCACCUGGACAGCUCUGGAGGAGCAGGAGGCAGCUGGGCAUCCACACCCGCAGCCCCAAAGGUCAGAAUGCAGGCAGAGUCCAUCCCAGCCGGCGCUGGUGUGCCAGGAUGGUGAGGGGCCAGCAGGAGAGCAGCCCCAGCCCCGUGCCCCUCCCGAGGAGGCAGAGCAGGGCAGGGCCCCCGCCAGCGGGGAGCCUGAGGGGCACUGGACAGAGAGCAGGAUAGACUUCAAGAAAGCAGAUUUCUGGAAGCCAGAUAGGGCAGUGGAGAGGCACACACGGGGAGCUUCAGCCCUGAGAAAUCCCUUUACCCUGGCGCUGAGCCCGAAUUCCCCGAGCAAUCCCUUCGUGGAGAAGCCCCCAGCCCCUCUCCCCGUCCAGGCUGUGCUGCCCGAAAAGCUUGAGCGGGGCCACUUCAGCUUCCUCAGCCUGCAGGAGGAAGCCCCCGGGCACGGCUUGCAGCCCACUAACGCUACCCCCCCGCAUGCCAGCCAGCCCCUGGCCUUCUCCACCCCUUUCCUCGUGGCUGCCACUAACCCCGAGCCGUGUGGCCGCCCCCGGGCCCCCGCGGGGGUCCCCGCCAGCCGCGCCGCCGCCCGGCCCUGCCCGCAGCCCGGGGACGCACAAGCUUCAGCGCUCCUGGUUCUGCCCAGGGAGACACGGCCGGCUGAGAAGCCCCUUGGCCAGCAGACGAGCAGGUGAGCACUGCGGGGAAGGCGAAGGGCGUGUGUGGGGGAGAGGUGAGCCCCGGCCCCUUCUGCUCCUGGCCCCUC